rnacentral:rRNA from 1 species
UAGACGCUGGCGGCAGGCCUAACACAUGCAAGUCGAGCGGUAGCACAGGAGAGCUUGCUCUCCGGGUGACGAGCGGCGGACGGGUGAGUAAUGUCUGGGAAACUGCCUGAUGGAGGGGGAUAACUACUGGAAACGGUAGCUACAUACCGCAUAACGUCUACGGACCAAAGUGGGGGACCUUCGGGCCUCACGCCAUCAGAUGUGCCCAGAUGGGAUUAGCUAGUAGGUGGGGUAAUGGCUCACCUAGGCGACGAUCCCUAGCUGGUCUGAGAGGAUGACCAGCCACACUGGAACUGAGACACGGUCCAGACUCCUACGGGAGGCAGCAGUGGGGAAUAUUGCACAAUGGGCGCAAGCCUGAUGCAGCCAUGCCGCGUGUGUGAAGAAGGCCUUAGGGUUGUAAAGCACUUUCAGCGAGGAGGAAGGGUAGUGUGUUAAUAGCACAUUGCAUUGACGUUACUCGCAGAAGAAGCACCCGGCUAACUCCGUGCCAGCAGCCCGCGGUAAUACGGAGGGUGCAAGCGUUAAUCG